rnacentral:rRNA from 1 species
CAGGCCUAACACAUGCAAGUCGAGCGGAUGACGGGGGCUUGCUCCUUGAUUCAGCGGCGGACGGGUGAGUAAUGCCUAUGAAUCUGCCUGGUAGUGGGGGACAACGUUUCGAAAGGAACGCUAAUACCGCAUACGUCCUACGGGAGAAAGCAGGGGACCUUCGGGCCUUGCGCUAUCAGAUGAGCCUAGGUCGGAUUAGCUAGUUGGUGGGGUAAUGGCUCACCAAGGCGACGAUCCGUAACUGGUCUGAGAGGAUGAUCAGUCACACUGGAACUGAGACACGGUCCAGACUCCUACGGGAGGCAGCAGUGGGGAAUAUUGGACAAUGGGCGAAAGCCUG